UUGGAGGGCAAGUCUGGUGCCAGCAGCCGCGGUAAUUCCAGCUCCAAUAGCGUAUAUUAAAGUUGUUGCAGUUAAAAAGCUCGUAGUUGAAUUUCGGGAUCAAAUUGUCGGUCGUGCCUCGGUACGCACUGGUAUUAUUGGUUCCUACCUUCUGAAGAACCGCGAUGUCAUUAAUUUGGUGUCGUGGGGAAUCAGGACUGUUACUUUGAAAAAAUUAGAGUGUUUAAAGCAGGCUUACGCUUGAAUACUUUAGCAUGGAAUAAUGAAAUAGGACGUUUGAUUCUAUUUUGUUGGUUUCUAGGAUUGACGUAAUGAUUAAUAGGGAUAGUUGGGGGCAUUAGUAUUCAAUUGUCAGAGGUGAAAUUCUUGGAUUUAUUGAAGACUAACUACUGCGAAAGCAUUUGCCAAGGAUGUUUUCAUUAAUCAAGAACGAAAGUUAGGGGAUCGAAGACGAUCAGAUACCGUCGUAGUCUUAACCAUAAACUAUGCCGACUAGGGAUCGGAUGAUGUUAAUUUUUUAAUGACUCAUUCGGCGCCUUACGGGAAAC
rnacentral:rRNA from 1 species